GAUGAAGAACGCAGCGAAAUGCGAUAAGUAAUGUGAAUUGCAGAAUUCAGUGAAUCAUCGAAUCUUUGAACGCACCUUGCGCCCUUUGGCCAUUCCGAAGGGCAUGCCUGUUUGAGUAUCAUGAACACCUCAACUCUUUAUGGUUUUCCAUGAUGAGCUUGGACUCUGGGGGUUUUGCUGGCUCACAGUCGGCUCCUCUAAAAUGAAUCAGCUUACCAGUGUUUGGUGGGUAUCAUGGGUGUGAUAACUAUCUACGCUUGUGGUUUUUCCACCAGGUAACCUUCAGCAGUGGAGGUUCGAUGGAGCUCAUAGAUGUCUCUCCUCGGUGAGGACAGCUCUUUGAACGUUUGAUCUCAAAUCAGGUAGGACUACCCGCUGAACUUAAGCAUAUCAAUAAGCGGAGGA
rnacentral:misc_RNA from 1 species